rnacentral:rRNA from 1 species
AUUGAACGCUGGCGGCAUGCCUUACACAUGCAAGUCGAACGGCAGCACGGGAGCAAUCCUGGUGGCGAGUGGCGAACGGGUGAGUAAUACAUCGGAACGUGCCCAGUCGUGGGGGAUAACGCAGCGAAAGCUGUGCUAAUACCGCAUGAGAUCUGCGGAUGAAAGCAGGGGACCGCAAGGCCUUGCGCGAUUGGAGCGGCCGAUGGCAGAUUAGGUAGUUGGUGGGGUAAAGGCUCACCAAGCCUGCGAUCUGUAGCUGGUCUGAGAGGACGACCAGCCACACUGGGACUGAGACACGGCCCAGACUCCUACGGGAGGCAGCAGUGGGGAAUUUUGGACAAUGGGCGCAAGCCUGAUCCAGCCAUGCCGCGUGCAGGAUGAAGGCCUUCGGGUUGUAAACUGCUUUUGUACGGAACGAAAAGGCCUUUUCUAAUAAAGAGGGCUCAUGACGGUACCGUAAGAAUAAGCACCGGCUAACUACGUGCCAGCCGCCGCAGUAA